rnacentral:rRNA from 1 species
ACUGCGAGUGAAGAGGGAAAAGCCCAGCACCGAAGCCCCUGUCAUUUUGGCAGGGUGCAAUGUGGUGUUUGGGAGGGUCCAUUCGCGCCUUGAGCUCUGAUGUCCAAGUCCCCCUGACCGGGGCCAUCGCCCGUUGAGGGUGCAAGGCCUGUUGGGCAGGGCUGUGUCUCCGAUCUCGGCGCGUUGGGUCCCUUCCUAGGAGUCGGGUUGCUUGAGAGUGCAGCCCAAAGUGGGUGGUAAACUCCACCUAAGGCUAAAUAUUUUCCACGAGACCGAUAGCAAACAAGUACCGUGAGGGAAAGUUGCAAAGAACUUUGAAGAGAGAGUUCAAGAGUGCGUGAAACCGUUCGGAGGUAAACGGGUGGGAGCGCGAAGGUCGAACGGAUGGGGAGGGAUUCAACUUGGCGUGAUGGCGUCUCCCUGGCGCGCGGCUCGAGGUCCCCGGCGGUUUUGCCGUCGUGGGAAUUCCUUGGCUGCAGUGUUGGGAGUCAUGCCGGUCUCCGCCUUGUGCAUUUCCCUGUUCCCCCUCUCCUAGUAGGACGCCGUGACCGGCUGUUGAGGGGAGCCCAGGAGCUGGUGGGGGUAGCUGCGCGGAUGAGUGUGGGAUUCGCUCCCUGCGUCCGGUCUGUCUGCCCCCCGCCGACUGCGGGCGCUCUCCCCGGCCGAGGAAUGCUGAUGGCGGGAUGCGGGCCCUCGCGGUCCGCCCCGUCCAAGCACGUGCCCACCAAAAAUCUGAUGGGUGCGGGUCGAAAGAGCCCAACGGGUGGCGGCGAGCGGUUGCUGGCCAGCCUUGUGCUGUUCCAGUCUGACUGUCUCGCGUCUGCUGCUGUCUGCCAGGGCGCUGACUCCCGCAUCCACGGGCGCUGGGGGUCAACGGCGAGUAGGUCGGUUUCCCACCCGACCCGUCUUGAAACACGGACCAAGAAGUCUAACGUGUGGGCGAGUCUUCGGGGACCUUGUGAACCCUAUGAAGGCGCAAUAAAAGUGAAGGCUCUGUGCGCGCGCCCGCUCUCUCGGGGGCUGGGCUGCGUGCGCGGUGGCUGUAGUGGGAUCCCCGGUCUAAGGGCCGGGGCGCACCACUGGCCCGUCCUACGACCGCUUUGCCGGUCGGGCGGAGCAAGAGCCCACGCGUUGGGACCCGAAAGAUGGUGAACUAUGCCUGGGCAGGACGAGGCCAGAGGAAACUCUGGUGGAAGUCCGCAGCGGUUCUGACGUGCAAAUCGAU